ACUUAAAUUGAAGAGUUUGAUCAUGGCUCAGAUUGAACGCUGGCGGCAGGCCUAACACAUGCAAGUCGAGCGGUAGCACAGAGAGCUUGCUCUCGGGUGACGAGCGGCGGACGGGUGAGUAAUGUCUGGGAAACUGCCUGAUGGAGGGGGAUAACUACUGGAAACGGUAGCUAAUACCGCAUAACGUCGCAAGACCAAAGUGGGGGACCUUCGGGCCUCAUGCCAUCAGAUGUGCCCAGAUGGGAUUAGCUAGUAGGUGGGGUAACGGCUCACCUAGGCGACGAUCCCUAGCUGGUCUGAGAGGAUGACCAGCCACACUGGAACUGAGACACGGUCCAGACUCCUACGGGAGGCAGCAGUGGGGAAUAUUGCACAAUGGGCGCAAGCCUGAUGCAGCCAUGCCGCGUGUGUGAAGAAGGCCUUCGGGUUGUAAAGCACUUUCAGCGGGGAGGAAGGCGGUGAGGUUAAUAACCUCAUCGAUUGACGUUACCCGCAGAAGAAGCACCGGCUAACUCCGUGCCAGCAGCCGCGGUAAUACGGAGGGUGCAAGCGUUAAUCGGAAUUACUGGGCGUAAAGCGCACGCAGGCGGUCUGUCAAGUCGGAUGUGAAAUCCCCGGGCUCAACCUGGGAACUGCAUUCGAAACUGGCAGGCUAGAGUCUUGUAGAGGGGGUAGAAUUCCAGGUGUAGCGGUGAAAUGCGUAGAGAUCUGGAGGAAUACCGGUGGCGAAGGCGGCCCCCUGGACAAAGACUGACGCUCAGGUGCGAAAGCGUGGGGAGCAAACAGGAUUAGAUACCCUGGUAGUCCACGCCGUAAACGAUGUCGAUUUGGAGGUUGUGCCCUUGAGGCGUGGCUUCCGGAGCUAACGCGUUAAAUCGACCGCCUGGGGAGUACGGCCGCAAGGUUAAAACUCAAAUGAAUUGACGGGGGCCCGCACAAGCGGUGGAGCAUGUGGUUUAAUUCGAUGCAACGCGAAGAACCUUACCUGGUCUUGACAUCCACAGAACUUUCCAGAGAUGGAUUGGUGCCUUCGGGAACUGUGAGACAGGUGCUGCAUGGCUGUCGUCAGCUCGUGUUGUGAAAUGUUGGGUUAAGUCCCGCAACGAGCGCAACCCUUAUCCUUUGUUGCCAGCGGUCCGGCCGGGAACUCAAAGGAGACUGCCAGUGAUAAACUGGAGGAAGGUGGGGAUGACGUCAAGUCAUCAUGGCCCUUACGACCAGGGCUACACACGUGCUACAAUGGCAUAUACAAAGAGAAGCGACCUCGCGAGAGCAAGCGGACCUCAUAAAGUAUGUCGUAGUCCGGAUUGGAGUCUGCAACUCGACUCCAUGAAGUCGGAAUCGCUAGUAAUCGUAGAUCAGAAUGCUACGGUGAAUACGUUCCCGGGCCUUGUACACACCGCCCGUCACACCAUGGGAGUGGGUUGCAAAAGAAGUAGGUAGCUUAACCUUCGGGAGGGCGCUUACCACUUUGUGAUUCAUGACUGGGGUGAAGUCGUAACAAGGUAACCGUAGGGGAACCUGCGGUUGGAUCACCUCCUUACCUUAAAGAA
rnacentral:rRNA from 1 species